UAAAGUCAAAUUAAUUGGUUAAAGCUAAUAAAUAGUUACUGUAAAGUACAACAACUCUACUUAUUACUGUAAGAGUAAAAUCUUUAUAAAUAAGAUAGGAAUGUGUUUAUGUAACAUUAAUUCUCUUACGAGGCGCUAACAUAAAGACUAGGAUUAGAUACCCUAUUAUGGGCGUGAGUAUGAAAGUUUAUUAAGUUAAUAGCCUUAAUUAAAGCAAAAUCUAUUUACUAUGGCGGCUGUUAGUCUCACCAGAGUCGUAUGUCCUUAAACGAAACUGCGCGACCAUCUUACCUUUUAACUUUUGCUUACAUAAAAUAAUUACACUAUAGCAAUCUGGCACGUCGCUGUACUAAAAGUGAAGAUUUUAAAUAACUCAUCUUCUAAUUACUUACUAACAAUUAUUAGUAACGUACAAGUCAAGACGCCGUUUUAAGAGGCUUAAGAUGUACGAUUUAAUUGGUUUGAUAGAAUUCAUAAGAAUGAAAACUUUCUUUAUUAAAAUAAUUUGGAAGUAAAAUAGGGUUAUUAUUCUUAUUUGAAAUGAGCUACUAAUAAGU
rnacentral:rRNA from 1 species